rnacentral:tRNA from 1 species
UGUGGCUCAGUGGCAGAGCACUUGCCUAGCACGUGUGAGGCACUGAGUUCGAUUCUCAGCA